GCAUUGGUGGUUCAGUGGUAGAAUUCUUGCCUUCUAUGCAACAGACCCGAUUUGAUUCCCAGCCAGUGUA
rnacentral:tRNA from 1 species